rnacentral:rRNA from 1 species
UACGUAGGGACCAAGCGUUGUUCGGAUUUACUGGGCGUAAAGGGCGCGUAGGCGGCAAUUCAAGUCAGCUGUGAAAUCUCCGAGCUUAACUCGGAACGGUCAGCUGAUACUGCUUUGCUAGAGUGCAGAAGGGGCAAUCGGAAUUCUUGGUGUAGCGGUGAAAUGCGUAGAUAUCAAGAGGAACACCUGAGGUGAAGACGGGUUGCUGGGCUGACACUGACGCUGAGUGCGCGAAAGCGUGGGGAGCAAACAGG